UGCGCCUUGCCAGCCCGCUCAGAACUAAAUGAAUUGACGGGGGCCCGCACAAGCGGUGGAGCAUGUGGUUUAAUUCGAUGAUACGCGAGGAACCUUACCUGGGCUCGAACGUAAGAUGACUGUAGGUGAAAGCUUACAUCUCUUCGGAGCAUUUUUACGAGGUGCUGCAUGGUUGUCGUCAGCUCGUGCCGUGAGGUGUCGGGUUAAGUCCCAUAACGAGCGCAACCCCUACCUUUAGUUGCCAUCAGGUCAAGCUGGGGACUCUAAUGAAACUGCCUACGCAAGUAGUGAGGAAGGUGGGGAUGACGUCAAAUCAGCACGGCCCUUACGUCCGGGGCUACACACGUGCUACAAUGGCCGGUACAAAGGGUUGCGAAGCCGUGAGGUGGAGCGAAUCUCAAAAAGCCGGCCUCAGUUCGGAUUGGAGGCUGCAACUCGCCUCCAUGAAGUCGGAAUCGCUAGUAACCGCAGAUCAGCUACGUUGCGGUGAAUACGUUCCCGGGCCUU
rnacentral:rRNA from 1 species